CGGACGGGUGAGUAAUGUCUGGGAAACUGCCUGAUGGAGGGGGAUAACUACUGGAAACGGUAGCUAAUACCGCAUAAUGUCUGCGGACCAAAGCGGGGGACCUCCGGGCCUCGCGCCAUCAGAUGAACCCAUAUGGGAUUAGCUAGUAGGUAAGGUAACGGCUUACCUAGGCGACGAUCCCUAGCUGGUCUGAGAGGAUGACCAGCCACACUGGAACUGAGACACGGUCCAG
rnacentral:rRNA from 1 species